AUGUUCUCUGUAGCUCUGCUGCUGCUGCUGCUGGUUGCUGGAUCCUGUGUGAAGUGUGAACAGCUGACUCAGCCAGCCUCUGUAAUGCUGCAGCCAGGUCAACGUCUGACCAUCAGCUGUCAGGUCUCUUAUUCUCUGAGCAGUCGUCCUACAGCAUGGAUCAGCCAGCCUGCUGGAAAAAGACUAGAGUGGAUUGGUGAAGCAGGUGAAGGAUGGACCACAACCUACAAGGAUUCACUAAAGAACAAGUUCAGCAUCAGCUUUGUUUCUUCCAGUAAAACAGUGACUCUAAAUGGACAGAAUAUGCAGCCUGAAGACUCUGCUGUGUAUUACUGUGCCAGACAGCCAAAGUGA